rnacentral:RNase_P_RNA from 2 species
GGAGAAAAUCGGAUGAUCGCGGGCAGAGUUUCCUCUGCCGGAGGAAAGUCCGAGCUCCACAGGGCAGGAUGGUCGCUAACGGCGACCGGGGGCGACCCCAGGGAAAGUGCCACAGAAAAUAUACCGCCCGGGCGAAAGCCUCAGGGUAAGGGUGAAAUGGCGAGGUAAGAGCUCACCGCUUUUCCGGUGACGGAAAAGGCAUGGCAAACCCCAUCCGGAGCAAGACCAAAUAGGAGAACGUUUGAGGGCGGCCCGCCUGAUGUUCUCGGGUAGCGUCGCUAGAGGCGGCAGGCAACUGCCGUCCCAGAUGAAUGAUCAUCGCCGCGGCGAGGGUAACCGAAUCGCGGAACAGAACUCGGCUUAUGAUUUUCUCCGCGC